UACGGGAGGCAGCAGUGGGGAAUAUUGGGCAAUGGAGGAAACUCUGACCCAGCGACGCCGCGUGCGGGAUGAAGACCUUCGGGUUGUAAACCGCUUUCAGUAGGGAAGAAGCGAAAGUGACGGUACCCACAAAAGAAGCACCGGCUAAAUAUGUGCCCGCAGCCGCGGUAAUACAUAGGGCGCGAGCGUUGUCCGGAAUUAUUGGGCGUAAAGAGCUCGUAGGUCGUUUGAUACGUCGGAUGUGAAAACUUGAGGCUCAACCUCAGGCCCGCAUUCGAUACGGGCAAACUAGAGUUUGGUAGGGGAGACUGGAAUUCCUGGUGUAGCGGUGGAAUGCGCAGAUAUCAGGAGGAACACCAAUGGCGAAGGCAGGUCUCUGGGCCAAUACUGACACUGAGGAGCGAAAGUCUGGGGAGCGCACAGGAUUAGAUACCCUGGUAGUCCACACCGUAAACGGUGGGCACUAGUUGUGGGAACCUUCCACGGUUCUGCGACGCAGCUAACGCAUUAAGUGCCCCGC
rnacentral:rRNA from 1 species